UACAGAGGUGGCAAGCGUUGUUCGGAUUUACUGGGCGUAAAGGGUGCGUAGGUGGUUUCGUGUGUCGGAUGUGAAAUCCCACUGCUCAACGGUGGAACUGCAUCGGAAACUGCGAAACUUGAGUGCAGGAGGGGAUAGCGGAAUUCUUGGUGUAGCGGUGAAAUGCGUUGAUAUCAAGAAGAACACCGGUGGCGUAGGCGGCUAUCUGGAAUGCAACUGACACUGAGGCACGAAAGCUAGGGGAG
rnacentral:rRNA from 1 species